AAAUUGAAGAGUUUGAUCAUGGCUCAGAUUGAACGCUGGCGGCAGGCCUAACACAUGCAAGUCGAGCGGUAGCACAGAGAGCUUGCUCUCGGGUGACGAGCGGCGGAAGGGUGAGUAAUGUCUGGGAAACUGCCUGAUGGAGGGGGAUAACUACUGGAAACGGUAGCUAAUACCGCAUAAUGUCGCAAGACCAAAGUGGGGGACCUUCGGGCCUCAUGCCAUCAGAUGUGCCCAGAUGGGAUUAGCUAGUAGGU
rnacentral:rRNA from 1 species